GUCGGCCCUUGCGGCGCGCGCCCGGGACCGGCCCAAGCUUUCCACUCGGGCCGGCGGGCUCGUGGGUUCGUUUGCCCCGCCCCCCGGCGCCGCUGCUGGGCGCUUGCGCGGGGCGCGUGGCCGUGGUCCGGGUCUCCGCCGCAGACCGAGCUGCUGCCGCCGCCGCCGCCUCAGUCAGUCAGUCCCCAGCAAUGGCGGAAGGAGGUGAGCGAGAGGAGCUGCUCUCGCCACCGCCGGUCUCUCCGGCAAAGCGGUUGUGCUCAUGGCCCAGCCCGCAGGCUCGCAACCCCCGCGGUUCUCCGGGGGCUACUAGCGGAGGGGCGGGGGGCGUCGGCAGCAGCUGCCUGGCCCCGGGGGCCCGCCCCCACCUGCAGCCGGAGUCCUUGCUGGACUGCGCCGCCAAGACGGUGGCGGAAAAGUGGGCGUACGAACGGGUGGAGGAGCGCUUCGAGCGGAUCCCGGAGCCGGUGCAGCGCCGCAUCGUCUACUGGUCCUUCCCGCGGAAUGAGCGGGAGAUCUGCAUGUACUCCAGCUUCCAGUACCGGGGCGGCCCCGGCGCCGGCGCGGCUGGCGGCGCCACGGGGGCUUCGCCGGCCGAGGAGGGGCCGCCGCCACCCCCCGGGGCCGCUGCUCCGGCCGGCUCCGCCCCCGGGGCCGCUUCGGCGGGGGCAUCCCCUGGGCUAGGCACUGGGGCUGGCGCGGCUGGUGGCGGCAGUAGCGG
rnacentral:lncRNA from 1 species